CUCCGCGGCCCCGCCCCGCGGGCCGGGCGCGCGCCCCUCGCUCCGGAAGCGCAUUCCUGACGGCCGCGCCUCGGGAGGCGCCCGGACAAAGGGCUCGGCCGGGCGGGGCCGCGCGGGGCCGGGCGCGCGCGGGGCGGCCGGCCGGGGGCCGCGGGGCCUCAGCCCCGUCUCCCGCGCCUGCGGGUCCGCGCGCCGGUGUCUCGGCCGCCGCUCUGAUCCCGGUGUUGUCUUUUAUCACGUGAUUGUGGGAGACCUGCUGGGAGUGAGAGCCCUCUGCCUUCUGAUGGUUGAGAACUCCUGAGACUCGGGGCAGCACUGUGAUGUAGCAGGUAAAGCCCCCACCUGCAGUGCCGGCAUCCCAUGUGGCCACUGCUCCACUUCCAAUCCAGCUCUCUGCUAUGGCCUGGGGAAGCAGUAGAAGAUGGCCCAAGUCCUUAGGCUCCUGCACCCGCAUGGGAGACCUGGAGGAAGCUCCUGGCUUCGGAUCUGCCCAGCUCCAGCUGUUGCAGCCAUGUGGGGAGUGAACCAGCAGAUGGAAGAUAUAUGUAUAUGUGUGUGUGUGUGUGUAUGUGUGUGUGUGUGUCUUUCUCUCCCCCCCCCCUUCUGCCUCUCUGUAACUCUGCUAUUCAAAUAAAUAAAUUGUUUAAAAAAAAAAAAAAGAACACCUGCGACUCAGAAUGGAUGCCUGCAUCUGUGAGAGUGAAAGGGUGAGACGUUCAGACAGACGACACAAGACCAGAUUUUCCUGGGGUUGGCCACAGACUGACACCAUCCAUACCAGAUCAUUUUUUACAUUUUUUUAUCUGUGUUUCAUUUACUGAAAGACAUUGAGACAGAAACAGAUAAUGAUCUUCCAUCCUCAAAUGCUGCAGCAGCCAGGGCUAUAGCAGGCAGAAGC